GUUGUUGACAGCCACAUGCAUUGA
rnacentral:siRNA from 1 species